rnacentral:rRNA from 1 species
GACGAACGCUGGCGGCGGGCCUAACACAUGCAAGUCGAACGGAAAGGCCCUGCUUCUGUCGGUUGCUCGAGCGGCGAACGGGUGAGUAACACGUGUGUGACCUGCCCUUUACUUUGGGAGAAUCUCAGGUAACUGCGGCAACUACCGCCUCGUAGCUCCUGCUGCACGGUGGGGGGUGGAAAGUUGCGGCGGUUGGGGAUGGACGCCCGGCUGAUCAUUUUGCUGGUGGAGUAGUGGCAUACCACGGCUGUGACGGGUCGCCGGCAUGGGAGGGUGAACGGCCUCAUGGGUACUGCGGUACGGCCCAGACUCCUACGUGGGGCAGCAGGGGCGAACAUGACGCAAUGGGCGGGCGUCUGAGGCGGCAACGCCGCGGGCGUAAUGAAGGCUUUGGGGUUGUAAACCGCUUUCGCCUGUGACGAUGCGUCAGUGACGGUAAUCGGUAAAGAAGCACCGGCUAACUCCGUG